GCCGCAGGCAGCCAGGGCACCUGACAGCGGGCGGAGCGGCGGAGAAGCUGCUUUGGGGCUUGGCUCAGCGGCCAGCACCAGAGCAAAGAAAUGUUAGAGAAAGAAAAGGGAGGCAGGAGUUACUGAGCACGGGGACAUCUUUGGGGUCCCUCUGCUUCCUCUGAGUCGCCUUCUUUUGCCUUGAGGACCGUAGGACCCCGUCGUCCGGGUGGGAAGCAGCUGUGCGGCGCCGGAGCCGACCGAAUGGCUACCCGGCGCUUCCCAGGCCUGCAGUCCACACUGAGCAGCCUCAUAAGUAACCAUCCGUUCAGGAGGGGAAACGAGGAGACCCUGCACCCUCGUCCUGCUACACAUCAGCCGCACCUGGCACCAGCUCUCUGCCUCCUUUUGAUUCCGGAAAACACACUUCAGUAAUUUACAAGUGGGAGGAGGGGAAACCGAACUGCACAAUUGUUUUCCAGCUCCAUCACUGAAUGUUCCCAUAGCUGUGAGUUCGGAUAAUGACAGUCUUCCUCUGAAUAGAUUUGGGUGUUCCAUGAACAGAGCCUCAUCCUGUUAGACAAACCACCUGAAUACUGCAUGGAUGAUGCUUCCGAGGCAAACUAUUCAAUAUCACAGUAAUCCAAGGCUAUGCCCCAACCACUGAUGCUGAAGACGCUGAAGUCCAACAGUUGUAUGAAGAACUACAAGACCUUC